UUGCACCCAAAUGAAUCACAAUAUGCACACAGGCCCAAUAAACAAGAGGAGGCAUACAGGAAAUUUGCUGACUAAUGGAGUUCAGCAUAAUGCCACAAUUGUGCUAUGCUUUAAUUGCAUUUUUUCACUACACAGGUAUAUACAAUUUGAUGUGAGUGGGUUCAACUGUAUUUAGUUCUUAGGGCAAAAUGCUCCCACACAGUGUCCCACACAGCUAAGGUACAGUGCUAAAGCAUUAAACUUUGCUCAGGAAGCAUGAUGGCACACUAUUUAUUUUGAUAUAAUGCAACCACUUUUGCAGAGAGACAGCCUGCAGCUGCAGUGUUUACCCCAUGGGUAAACAGCGCAAGUCAACCACCAGCAGGCUUGUUUGAAGUCACGAAUGGCCAGGUAAAAGUUGGGGAAGGCAUGUUCAUGCCCCUCGACAAGUGGACAUUUAUAAUGAAGAACGUGUCCGAUGGCAAGUGUUGUUUGGAACUUGCGAAACAUUUUUGGGCACCCACUGAGGCUGCCACACGCAGCCUAACAGGCCAGGCUUGCCGCAGCAUGGCCACUGAGGUUAAGAAGCUUCCGGCGACACCAGAAAAGGUGGAAAUGGUGAAGAACUGCCUGGCAAAGUACAUCGACUUGCACCCAGCGCUACAGCCACCUAGGGACCAUCGCGUCGCAGCAGUAAGAAAAUACUUGAGGACUUUUUUUACUGAGGCUGCACGCCAAGGAAAGAGGGUGCGGAAAGCACCGAAGUGUGGUCAAGUGAAUAAAUAAAUGAUAUCACUAAGCCAGGGUGUUACGCCACUUAUUGCGAGCAUGGUAUUACAGUGCCUGUUUGGCCUA